rnacentral:misc_RNA from 1 species
GAUGAAGAACGUAGUGAAAUGCGAUACUUGGUGUGAAUUGCAGAAUCCCGUGAACCAUCGAGUUUUUGAACGCAAGUUGCGCCCGAAGCCAUUAGGCCGAGGGCACGCCUGCCUGGGUGUCACACGUCGUUGCCCCCCCAUCUACUCCUUCGGGAUUGCGGGGGGCGGAUGAUGGCCUCCCGUGCGCCUCGUCGCGCGGUUGGCAUAAAUGCCAAGUCCUCGGCGACGCACGCCACGACAAUCGGUGGUUGCGAAACCUCGGUUGCCCGUCGUGUGCGGUCGUCGCGCAUCGAGGGCUCGAAAAAAUUGCCGGGCUCCGGCUCGGCUUUCAACGCGACCCCAGGUCAGGCGGGGUUACCCGCUGAAUUUAAGCAUAUCAAUAAGCGGAGGA